rnacentral:rRNA from 1 species
GUUUUAAGUACGUAUUAAUAAUGAUAAUAUGUAUACUAGUCUUGACCAAUUACGUGCCAGCAGUCGCGGUAAUACGUAAGAGACGAGCAUUAUUCAUAUUAAAUAGGUUUAAAGGGUACCCAGACGGUCAAAAUACCUUAACUAAAAGGAGUACUUGACUAGAGUUUUAUGUGAGAAGACCGUACUUGAGGUGGAGAGAUUAUAUUCUGUGAUACCAAGGGGACUGAUAAAGGCGAAAGCUGUCUUUUAUGUAAUAACUGACGUUGGAGGACGAAGGCAUAGAACACGAACAGGAUUUGACACCCUAGUAGUCUUUGCAGACAAUGAUGAAUGCCAUGGACUAGUCGCUAAAAUAACUACUCUAUCCUAGAUUGUUACACAAUCUAGGAUGCGAGUGUAGUUUAAGCAGAAUUAGUCUAUAAAUGAAAAUGAAAGCAUUUCACCUCAAGAGUAAUGUGGCAACGC